rnacentral:piRNA from 1 species
UGAAGGUUCUAGAUUCCUCUGGUGU